UACGUAGGGUGCAAGCGUUAAUCGGAAUUACUGGGCGUAAAGCGUGCGCAGGCGGUGAUGUAAGACAGAUGUGAAAUCCCCGGGCUCAACCUGGGAACUGCAUUUGUGACUGCAUCGCUGGAGUGCGGCAGAGGGGGAUGGAAUUCCGCGUGUAGCAGUGAAAUGCGUAGAGAUGCGGAGGAACACCGAUGGCGAAGGCAGCCCCCUGGGUUAACACUGACGCUCAGGCACGAAAGCGUGGGGAGCAAACAGG
rnacentral:rRNA from 1 species